UGGUCACUCUGCACACCAAUCUUGGCGACAUCGAGCGCGAGAUGGCCGUGGCGAGGUCCCCAAGACCGCCUCGGCAAGUACUUUACUAAUCCUGUCUAUAUAUUUCAACAACUACGUUCGUGAGACGAAAUAUGUAAUCUGAUGCAAUAUACAGAAGAUGCUACGGCUUGAGUAAAUGUUCUUUCAAGCCUUUUUAAUUGGUCGGGGGCUUCUCGUGGCUCGUGUACUUAGUUUGAUGCAUUCUCUCUUGUUAGUUUUGCCUUUGAUUAUUAGCUUCAGCAUCUGCUGGAGGAUCAUGAGUUUCGGAGAGUUGGGGUUCAAUGUCUGAUUGUCAAAAUUCACAAAAAUUAUAUACCCAAUAAGUCACUGCAUUUCGGAAAUUCUGUUUGGUUGUUAAGAUCGGGGGUGUAUGCACCUCGAGUGGCUCUUUUGUUAUCACUAUCAUCUCUUUUACUGUGCACUCAUUCGGUUGGGACUGUGGCGCCUGUGCAAAAAACAUAUAUGGUUAUGUACGUAGAAUGCUCGUGCUUUGGCUUCUUCAUUUUCGGAAAAUUAUAUUCACUAAGGCUAAAUCUGAAUGUUUACAACUGAUCGAAUAAAAGCUGGAUAGCUCUCCUCUGUCUGAAUGCAGAACUUUUUGCUGUUAUGUGCAAGUGUUUACUACAACAGGACUAUAAUCCACCGGGAUGUCAAGGGUUUUACCAUUCAAGGUGGAGGGCCGACGGGAACAGGAGAAGGGGGAACAAGACUUUGGGGCAAGAAAUUUGAUGCUGAGAUAACGGAGUCUCUCAAGCGCAAGAGGAAUAUUAUCAAUGGCAAAUAAUGGGCCCAAUGCCAAUGGGUGUCAGUUUUUCAUUACUUGUGUGGAACAGCUGCAUCUCGACAGGCUGCACACUGUGUUUGGAAGAGUCAUUCGUGGCUUCGAGGUCCUUGAUCUCAUGGAGAGGGAUCGGGAGACUGGCCACAUGCUGAAAUUAGGCUUACUCGAGUUACUCCACAUGCUACCCCUUUUGCCGGAUAGUGGGCCAUGUUGCCUUGAUGUAUUACUGUUUACACUCAUUUUCUGCAUUUCGCGGUAAAUGGGCUUAGGGUUGUAAGGUCCAUGUGACCGGCUCAACUAGGAGCGGACCAUGAUCAAAGACUCGAGGACCCGAGUCGAGGAUCCACGGCACUACCCGAUUUGGACAGUUGCUGGCGGGAAGGUAAUUCAAGAAAGAAGUCAUGAAAUGCUCUAACUGGGCUGAUCAGAUCAGUUAGCCGAGAGCUAGCUAUUAGCUCGUAUUAAGGGAGGAAUUCUGAUUUUUUCUUGAACGGCAUUAUCGCACGAAUUUGGACGUGCACAAGGACAAGUACGUGAUUCUACAUGACAACGGGAGUUAUUUCCUUGGCUUGCACACCAGACAUGGAGAGUUAGCGCGACACACAAGGUCAUUAGCCUAAUAUGGAAAUUAGUUCGAUCUUUUUUCCUUUUUGGGGUUGAUGCAUGCGAAUCAAGGCAGAGGCACGGCCGAUACCCUAAAUCUGACGUGUAGGGAGUCUUUCCUUAGAGGAAGAUUGCGUUUACGGAGAUUGCUUAGAGGUUUAGCAAGUAAAUUAUUUUAGCUAGGCAAUUUCAUUAUCAUUAACUAGGUAGAAUAUUUUGUUUUCUUGUUUAGCUGGCUGCUUGGGCAGCAUGAAUUUUAUUACUUCAUGUUGCUUAUUUCCUUAGAAUAAGGCCGAUAUUUGCUCUUCAGGGUUUCCUAAGUCCGCCCUAUAAGACUGAGAGGUGCCAUUCGAUGUAAACAACCCGACAUUAAUCACAAAACGGCUCUGCGCCACCUACUUUUAUCUUUAUCUUUA